CACCGUGUUGCUUACACAUUCGUCUUCAUCUCUUUUUCUCUCUAUUGAGUGUAUGUGGGAAGAAGCCUUUCAUCUUGCAGGAGCCGCUACAUCUUUUGCCAGAUAAGAACACUGCAGGCUCCUCCCAGCUAACUCGCAGAGAUGUGUCGAGGAUUUCAGUAAAGCUCAGACGCCCUACAGGGCCUGGAACUGAGGCUAUGCAAUUCAACUGAGACAUGCUUCCUAAAUUACUCCACCAGGAGGGACACACGACACAAAGUGCAGCAUGAAAUCAGUCCUUACCAAAAAACAGCACACACUCGGAACUGGUAGGAUCGUGCUGGAGUUAGACCGGUCACCUCGGCUAUCGUCAGCAUCGGAUUAACAUUUGGCAAGAAACUUUUGACGAUCUCACACAAGGACCCCGAUACGUGCCUUUGAUCUUGUGCAUGUCUGCUGACAAGAAAAAAGAAACGGAGAGACACGCAUCCUGAAGAAGUGAUACAUUCUUCUACAACUAUACACAUUACAUUCCACUUAAAGAUUGUUAAAGCUCAGUUGUGAACUUGAUUUUCUGAACAGAAAACAAAAGUCUAUAAAUAAUGACUCCAGGCUGUAGUCAAAACGGUAAAGCCUCUUUAUUAAGUAAUUCUUAAGCAAUAUAACUGCUGCAUGGUUAAAUAAUCUAUUGCCAGUGGAAAGGAAAUCGGACUAAAAAGCCUUUUCUGUCUAAUGACAUGGGCAGUCAUGCUAGGUAGGUUGAGAAUAGUUUCAAUGCCUUAUUCCACAGAACCCGUCUUCCUUGACAAACGGCUUCAACUGUUAAUAAGGACCGAACAUUGUCACAGACAAUCCUAAUCCUACACUGUGUAUUCCUAUAUAUGUAUUCUCCACGAAUCCGCACAAACAGAUUAAAAAGAUUAUUUUGUUUAAACCUAUCAAUUUUUACCUUGAGGCUAUCUUUAAAUUAUUAAGCAAUACCAAUCAGCAUUUUAUUAUAUGAUAAACUCUGAUCAGGAACCAAAGAGCAGCAGCUUUUAAAAAGAUAAACACUUUCAUCACACAAUUUAUAAAACUAAAACCGAAACCUCAUAACAUAUACAACAUCAGAAGAUCAGAAGAAGUAGAGAAGCGAAAAUCAGAUGUACAGAAAUACGAUUAGCAGCCUGCUGCUUUCCAAAUGUCUUUGGAUGUUUGUGUUAACAGGCAUCUGAAAUAUAAAAGCACUUGGAAACCAGAUGGAAAGAAAACUGUGAGAAAAUGUUUCCACCAAAAAAGACGUUAGUCUACAAGCUCCUGCUGGGAAUUCUAGCCCACAUCCGCAAACUACUGUAAUACUCAAACCUGAGCUUAAUGAACAAGUGGCUGCUGUUAAAUACACAAUGUUGUUUAACAGAGUAAAUAUGGGUAUGCAGAGCGUACAGACUGCCCUGGAGAAAGUACAGACAAGAGCCAGACUGUGCUGGAGCUUUAUAGCCAGAGUGUCAGAGUGAAGCAUUUCCUGGCAUAUAAACCACGGCUCCAGCAUUGCAACUGAGAUAACAGAUUACUAACUUUAUUUUGAUAAAAGAUUGCUGAAUACUUUCUUAAGAUAACAGAUUUCCAGUAUUCACCCAUGUGUCACAAAGUCCCAACAUUGUGAGUUAGUAUCACGCAAUAAAUGUUUCAUUGGAUCAUUUCACCAGGCAUCUACCGUUUUACAUUCCUUCCCUGCUCCAGCACACACCCAUCUCCCAAAAUGACUUUCUGCACCAUGUGUUUUGUGUCAUCAAACGAAAUAAAGCAGUGAUUGAGACUUUUUGAAAAUGCACAGAGUAAUAGGCUCAUUGUUAUGCCACAAUGUUCUUCCAAACCAUAACAUGAACAUCAGUUUGGAUAAUUACACCAUGCUUUUCAUUAGAAAGGAAAAUGUUUGGUAAGAGCAUGAGUAGAUGUCAAAAAAAGGCAAAAUGGCAAAUAAUAAAAAUCUAUUCAUAUUUCAAAAUGAAGAAGUGAACUCUCAAUUUAAGUACCUUAACCAAACCCACAUCUAAACAUCCAAAUGUGAAAUCCAAAAGCUUUUGCUACACCAUAAGUUAAAACCAACAGACCUCUAUAAUAUGACAAAAAAAACAGCUAGAAAAUAGAGGGAAGCAAUGCUAACAAUGGCAUGUUAAUACUGAAAAAGAAAAUCCUGCGUAGAUUUUUAUUAUUAUUAUAGUUGCUGUUUAGCUAAUUGCACAAGCGGGUGUUAAGUAGCGUGUUAAUAUUGUAGAAAACGUCUGGAUUCUGGAGUGUAAAUGUGGAGAUUUGGUUAAUAAAGUCAGGUACUGAUUUUGGGUAAGGAAACCUGGGGUGCAGUCAGCCUUCCAAUUCACCCCAAAAGUGUCAGUAGGGUUGAGGUCAGAGAUCUAAAGCAGGCCACUCUCAAGAUCUUCCACUUGAACCUUGUAAUCUUUCACUUGAAAUGUAAUAAAUAAACUAAUUAAGCUGUCUUUAUGCACAUGGGCAUUGUCAUGCUGGAACAGGUUUGGUAUCUUAGUUCAAGUGAGGGGAAAACUUUAUGCUACCGCAUCCAAAGACUUCCUAUACAAUGGUGUGCCUCCAACUUUGUGUAACACUUUAAAGAAAAAACACAUAUGGGGGGAAAAUGUCCAGUAUUUUUUUUCAGGUAGCUUUUACACAGCUUUGAAAUGUUUUAUUCAAAGUUAUUACUUUGUGUAGAAUAACAGCAACUUUAUUGAACUUUGAAACAUCCUGAAAUGAAAACAUUUCAUAUAUUCACAGAAUUUACUAUAGAGUUGAAUCCAAUUGCACAUCAUAUAUUCCUCAUAUUAAGUUAUUUAGAUCCAUAUGUCUUCUUCUUCUUUCAGCUGCUCCCGUUAGGGGAUCCAUAUGUAUUAAUAUGUAUUAAUGACAAUUUUGAGGCAUCAGUUGACACAAUUUCACUUAUUUAAAAAGCCCACAUGUCAGCCGGUGUCAUUUCUACUUUUUAAACUACUGUGCUAUUCACCUUUGCUUACUAUGUACAUCUGCAGGCACCUUUUAAGCAACACGAAGCAUUUCGAAGUCUUGUGAUAGUGCAUUAACAACACCGUUAUAUAUUAUUCUACAACUGUGGUAAAGUAAGAAACAAAAAGAAGUUUUAUGAUUUUGGUGUUCCUAUGGAUAACUAAUAAAAUAUCUAAUGAUAAAGUUUUCUUUUUUUAAUGUUUUUUUAAUGUUU